AUGGACCAAUCCAUCCCUUUUUCCCGUGCAUAUGCAUCGGACUCGGAUGACGAUGGUCCCGAUGAAGAAGUUGAUGAGGAGGGGUUCACGCCGAAGGAGGCCCAAGCAUUCAAGAAGGUAUUCGGGCGGGAUCACAAGACACCAUUGUUCAAGGAUCUUAGUCUCGCGGAUGAAACCGUUGUGGAUGGUGGCAAAUGCAUUUCUCUUGGAGCUAGGCCAAGUUCUCAC
rnacentral:rRNA from 1 species